GUCCCUGUACACUUAAAAUGACUAUUAUGCCCUUCAUAUUUGUAUUUUUUAUUUUUUAUAUUUAUAUUAUUGUUUUUAAUUAUUAAAAGUCUCUCUCUCUCUCUCUCUCUCUCUCUCUCUCUCUCUCCCUCUUAAGAACACCCUCCAGAUGCUACCCUCUCAAGAACAUCCAACAUAUCCCACCAUUAUCAUUUACCACCACGAUCCGCCUACUACCAUUUUCGUUCACUACCACCAUCCGCCUUUCAUCAUCGCUGUUUACCACCACCAUCCACCUGCUACCAUCCUUGUUCUCCACCAUCACCUUAAGAACACACACAAUCAAUCUUUCUCACUCCUCCCUGCCAUUAUCUCCAUUCGUCACCACCGUUCGCUGCCGACUGCCCGACUACCUCCAUCCCCCCCACCAUCACCUUUCCUUCCCUAACCUGAUAACCAUUCGCCACCACCAUUCACCUGAAAAAUCAAACCAAAAUGUCGAAAAAUCAACGGAUUUAAAGAAAAUGGUGGAUGUUGAACCACAGAUCCAUCUUUCUCGAGAGGCGGUCUUGAACCACAAAAUUGUUCUAUGCGUUGAAAUGUGGAUUGAUGUCGAUUUUGUUAUCGAAUGGACGAUGUCACAAAAGGUAGCUUGAAGGGAACAAGUGAGGUUGAUGGUGGCGACGCAAUCAGAGCAAAAGAGAGUUGAGGGCCAAGGUUCUACUUCCCCGACCUCCUUCUCCCAAAUCAACUUCUACUUCUUUCGAACAAGAUGAGGAUAAGAGGAUACGAAGUCAAUUUCAAGGAUCUGAGAUUGAAAUUGCCAUCCUAAUUCGAGCUAAAAUCAAAAAAUGGUGUAGAAAUCGAGCAACCGUGGGGAACGAGACGAUGUUCGAUGGUGGUGAUAGUCCAGUUGUUCCGGGCGGUCGAUGACGACGAAUUUAGGGUUCUUCAGUUGAAUCUUUCACUUGAUUUUGUGAUUCCAGUUGUUCGAGCCUAAGUUUGUUAAUGACAUCUAGAUGUCUCGCCGUCGCAUCAUGUAUCUUGUUGUGGAUCUCGCAAUGGAAGCCGCCACCGGAGCUAGGGUAACAGAGUCGCCGUCGGAGUGGUGGUGAUGGUGGUCUUAUUUUAGGGUGUGGUGGGGUGUGACUUAAUUGGAAUGGGUGGUCCGAUGAUGGUGUUGAGAGAGAGAGAGAGAGAGAGAGAGAGAGAGAGAGAGAGAGUGGUCGGUUUAUUUUGUUUUUGUUUUUUAUUUUAUUAUAAGAAUAAAAAAUAAAUAAAAUAAUUUAAAAUAUAAUUAUUUAAGGGGCAUAUUAGUCAUUUUAGGUGGGAUGUGGACCAAAAACAUAAGAAAAUACAACCAUAGGGACCAAAACCACACAAGGUAUUUAAAAUUGGACCAGUGGUGCACCAACAUUUCGUUUUGGACUAAAACUGCAGAAAUUUGACAACCACAGGGACCAUUUUUGCAAUUUUGUCNNNN
rnacentral:lncRNA from 1 species